UACGGAGGGUGCGAGCGUUGUCCGGAAUCACUAGGGCGUAAAGGGCGCGUAGGCGGCCUGAUAAGUAGGGGGUGAAAAUCCUGAGGCUUAACCUCAGGGCUGCCUUCUAAACUGUCAGCGUCGAGCACAGUAGAGGCAGGGUGGAAUUCCCGGUGUAGCGGUGGAAUGCGUAGAGAUCGGGAAGAACAUCAGUGGCGAAGGCGGCCUGCUGGGCUGGUUGCU
rnacentral:rRNA from 1 species